GACGAACGCUGGCGGCGUGCUUAACACAUGCAAGUCGAACGGAAAGGCCCUGCUUGCAGGGUACUCGAGUGGCGAACGGGUGAGUAACACGUGGGUGAUCUGCCCUGCACUUCGGGAUAAGCUUGGGAAACUGGGUCUAAUACCGGAUAGGAACCAUCUUUAGUGUGGUGGUUGGAAAGUUUUUUCGGUGUAGGAUGAGCUCGCGGCCUAUCAGCUUGUUGGUGGGGUAAUGGCCUACCAAGGCGGCGACGGGUAGCCGGCCUGAGAGGGUGUACGGCCACAUUGGGACUGAGAUACGGCCCAGACUCCUACGGGAGGCAGCAGUGGGGAAUAUUGCACAAUGGGCGCAAGCCUGAUGCAGCGACGCCGCGUGGGGGAUGAAGGCCUUCGGGUUGUAAACUCCCUUCGCUAGGGACGAAGCUUUGUUGUGACGGUACCUAGAUAAGAAGCACCGGCUAACUACGUG
rnacentral:rRNA from 1 species